UACGUAGGGGGCUAACGUUGUCCGGAAUCAUUGGGCGUAAAGCGCGUGUAGGCGGUCCGGUAAGUCCGCUGUGAAAGUCGGGGGCUCAACCCUCGGAUGCCGGUGGAUACUGUCGGGCUUGAGUACGGAAGAGGCGAGUGGAAUUCCUGGUGUAGCGGUGAAAUGCGCAGAUAUCAGGAGGAACACCAAUUGCGAAGGCAGCUCGCUGGGACGUUACUGACGCUGAGACGCGAAAGCGUGGGGAGCAAACAGGAUUAGAUACCCCGUG
rnacentral:rRNA from 1 species